UACGUAGGGUGCGAGCGUUAAUCGGAAUUACUGGGCGUAAAGCGUGCGUAGGCGGUCCGCUGUGUCCCGUGUGAAAGCCCCGGGCUCAACCUGGGAAUUGCAUGGGAAACUGGCGGGCUUGAGUGCGGCAGAGGGGUGUGGAAUUCCCGGUGUAGCAGUGAAAUGCGUAGAUAUCGGGAGGAACAUCUGUGGCGAAGGCGACACCCUGGACCAGCACUGACACUGAGGCACGAAAGCGUGGGGAGCGAACAGG
rnacentral:rRNA from 1 species